UAGUAACGGCGAGUGAACGGGUAUGAGCUCAAGCUUAAAAUCUCCGUGCAAAUUUUGCAUGGCGAAUUGUAGUCUAUAGAGGCGUGAUUAGCAUAGGCACUUGGGGCAAGUUCCUUGGAAGAGGACAGCAUCGAGGGUGAUACUCCCGUUUAUCUCCGAGUUGCUUAUGCGUACAAUCCGUUUUCUUUGAGUCGCGUUGUUUGAGAAUGCAGCGCAAAGUAGGUGGUAAAUUCCAUCUAAAGCUAAAUAUUGGUGCGAGACCGAUAGCAAACAAGUACCGUGAGGGAAAGAUGAAAAGAACUUUGAAAAGAGAGUUAAAGAGUACCUGAAACUGCUGAAAGGGAACCAAAUCGUUUCCAGUGUCUAUAAUCCGUGGUAUAUUUCAUUGGCGAAUGUGUGCGUGCGUGUACUAUGGCAGCGGCUUUUUGCUGCGCCUUGUGUAUGUGUGCACUUUCUCGCUGAUGCCCUGUACCGUGGUGGGACGUCAAUGUCGGUUCGUAAAUUGCGGGAAAUGACUGCCGAGGAGGUAGGGCGAACGCUUGCGUUUGUCUGUUAUAUCUUGGCGGACGUAGUAGUCGCGGUUGGGACUGAGGUGCCUACAAUGUGCUUAUGAGUAGAAUUGAUUCUCUGUGUGCGCCGUGUGCGGAUAGCUUGCUAUGCGUGUGUGGCUGCGUGUGGAU
rnacentral:rRNA from 1 species